rnacentral:lncRNA from 1 species
ACGAAAUUAUGAAAUGUUUAGGAUUGUACGUAAGAAGUUAAUGAUGGCCCCAAUUUCAACUCCCACCUUCCAAAUACUAAAUACUAAACCCUAAACCCUAAUCACUAAAUCCUAAACCCAAAUAUAAAUCUUAAAUACAAAUAUAAACCAUAAACUCAGAUAGAAUAGAACAAAUUCAAUAAUAUAAUACAUAUUGGUGAAAUUAUGAAAUAUAUAUGCUUGCAUGAAAGAAGUUAUGUUGACCCCAACCUCAACCCCCACCUUCCAAUUACUAAACCCUAAACCCAAAAUCAGUAAACCCUAUACCCAAAUUUAAACCCUAACCCUAAAUACUAAAUCGUAGACCCUAUUCACUAAAGCCAAAACCAAAAUAUAAAUCCAAAAUCUAAAUAUAAACUCUAAACCUAAAUAGAAUGAAAUAAAAUAAAUAGUAUAGUACCUAUUUACGAAAUUAUGAAAUGUCUAAACUUGCAUGUAAGAAAUUAAUGAUGACCCCAAUCUCAACCCCCACUUUCCAAAUACUAAACCCUAAACCCUAAUCACUGAAUUCUAAACCUAAAUAUAAAUUUUAAAUACAAAUAUAAACCCUAAAAUCAGAUAAAAUGGAACAAAAUCAAUAGUAUAGUACAUAUUGGUGAAAUUAUGAAUUGUAUAUGCUUGCAUGUAAGAAGUUAUGUUGACCCCAACCCCAACCCCCACCUUCCAAUUACUAAACCCUAAACCCAGAAUCACUAAACCCUAAACCCAAAUUUUAAACCCUAAACCCAAAUUUGAACCCUAACCCAAAUAUUAAAAUCUUAAAAUAGUGCACAAUAUUAUGUAAUAUUAAACUAUACUAAAUACUAAACUCUAAAUCCUAAUUACUAAACUCUAAACCUAAAUAAGUAGAUUAAGCUAAACACCAAUCUCAACCCCCACUUUCCAAAUACUAAACCCUAAACCCUAAUCACUGAAUUCUAAACCUAAAUAUAAAUUUUAAAUACAAAUAUAAACCCUAAACUCAGAUAAAAUGGAACAAAAUCAAUAGUAUAGUACAUAUUGGUGAAAUUAUGAAUUGUAUAUGCUUGCAUGUAAGAAGUUAUGUUGACCCCAACCCCAACCCCCACCUUCCAAUUACUAAACCCUAAACCCAGAAUCACUAAACCCUAAACCCAAAUUUGAACCCUAACCCAAAUAUUAAAAUCUUAAAAUAGUGCAUAAUAUUAUGUAAUAUUAAACUAUACUAAAUACUAAACUCUAAAUCCUAAUUACUAAACUCUAAACCUAAAUAAGUAGAUUAAGCUAAACACUAAUCAAGGAAGCAUAAACCCAAAUAGAACAUAUAUAAUAUGGUUUACUAUACCCAAACCUUUACUUAGUAAAUCUAAACCUUAGAC